GCAUCAGUGGAGUAGAAGUUAACUCGUUUCCCUCCCAUUCUCUCUCUCCGGGGCUUAUGGAAGGAAAGGACCCGGGUGCAAGUCCCGGCUGGUGCA